rnacentral:lncRNA from 1 species
UUUUUAUUACAAAUUGUCCAUCUUUGAACUUCUGUGUUGUAAUGAAGUCGUUAGGACUAUAAUUAAUCGACAAAGGAAGAUUUGUCGUUAAGUCCUUAAAAAUAUUCGCGACCAAACGAUACACUAUUACUAAGAUGAUAGUGGUAUCAAGUAUAGGUCAUUGCGUACUAUAUGAGUUGGUUGUCCUCUUAAUCAAAGAGUGUGGAGAUACUAUUAUGGCAUGC